AGUGAACGCUGGCGGUAGGCCUAACACAUGCAAGUCGAACGGCAGCACAGUAAGAGCUUGCUCUUACGGGUGGCGAGUGGCGGACGAGUGAGGAAUACGUCGGAAUCUACUUUUUCGUGGGGGAUAACGUAGGGAAACUUACGCUAAUACCGCAUACGACCUACGGGUGAAAGCAGGGGAUCUUCGGACCUUGCGCGAUUGAAUGAGCCGAUGUCGGAUUAGCUAGUUGGCGGGGUAAAGGCCCACCAAGGCGACGAUCCGUAGCUGGUCUGAGAGGAUGAUCAGCCACACUGGAACUGAGACACGGUCCAGACUCCUACGGGAGGCAGCAGUGGGGAAUAUUGGACAAUGGGCGCAAGCCUGAUCCAGCCAUACCGUGUGGGUGAAGAAGGCCUUCGGGUUGUAAAGCCCUUUUGUUGGGAAAGAAAAGCAGCAGGUUAAUACCCCGCUGUUCUGACGGUACCCAAAGAAUAAGCACCGGCUAACUUCGUG
rnacentral:rRNA from 1 species